GUGGAUUAGAUACCCUGGUAGUCCACGCCGUAAACGAUGGAAGCUAGCCGUUGGUAAGCAUGCUUAUCAGUGGCGCAGCUAACGCAUUAAGCUUCCCGCCUGGGGAGUACGGUCGCAAGAUUAAAACUCAAAGGAAUUGACGGGGGCCCGCACAAGCGGUGGAGCAUGUGGUUCAAUUCGACGCAACGCGAAGAACCUUACCAGCCCUUGACAUGUCCAGGACCGGUCGCAGAGACGCGACCUUCUCUUCGGAGCUUGGAACACAGGUGCUGCACGGCCGUCGCCAACU
rnacentral:rRNA from 1 species